UACAGAGGGGGCAAGCGUUGUUCGGAAUUACUGGGCGUAAAGGGCGCGUAGGCGGCCUUCUAAGUCAGACGUGAAAUCCCCGGGCUCAACCCGGGAACUGCGUCUGAUACUGGAAGGCUUGAAUCCGGGAGAGGGAUGUGGAAUUCCAGGUGUAGCGGUGAAAUGCGCAGAUAUCUGGAGGAACACCGGUGGCGAAGGCGGGUCUCUGGGCCGAUACUGACGCUGAGGAGCGAAAGCGUGGGGAGCGAACAGG
rnacentral:rRNA from 1 species